AGAGUUUGAUCAUGGCUCAGAUUGAACGCUGGCGGCAGGCUUAACACAUGCAAGUCGAGCGGGGAAAUGUAGCUUGCUACCUAACCUAGCGGCGGACGGGUGAGUAAUGCUUAGGAAUCUGCCUAUUAGUGGGGGACAACAUCUCGAAAGGGAUGCUAAUACCGCAUACGUCCUACGGGAGAAAGCAGGGGACCUUCGGGCCUUGCGCUAAUAGAUGAGCCUAAGUCGGAUUAGCUAGUUGGUGGGGUAAAGGCCUACCAAGGCGACGAUCUGUAGCGGGUCUGAGAGGAUGAUCCGCCACACUGGGACUGAGACACGGCCCAGACUCCUACGGGAGGCAGCAGUGGGGAAUAUUGGACAAUGGGGGGAACCCUGAUCCAGCCAUGCCGCGUGUGUGAAGAAGGCCUUUUGGUUGUAAAGCACUUUAAGCGAGGAGGAGGCUACCGAGAUUAAUACUCUUGGAUAGUGGACGUUACUCGCAGAAUAAGCACCGGCUAACUCUGUGCCAGCAGCCGCGGUAAUACAGAGGGUGCAAGCGUUAAUCGGAUUUACUGGGCGUAAAGCGCGCGUAGGUGGCCAAUUAAGUCAAAUGUGAAAUCCCCGAGCUUAACUUGGGAAUUGCAUUCGAUACUGGUUGGCUAGAGUAUGGGAGAGGAUGGUAGAAUUCCAGGUGUAGCGGUGAAAUGCGUAGAGAUCUGGAGGAAUACCGAUGGCGAAGGCAGCCAUCUGGCCUAAUACUGACACUGAGGUGCGAAAGCAUGGGGAGCAAACAGGAUUAGAUACCCUGGUAGUCCACGCCCUAAACGAUGUACACUAGUUGUUGUGAGACUUGAUCUUGCAGUAAUGCAGUUAACACAUUAAGUGUACCGCCUGGGGAGUACGGUCGCAAGAUUAAAACUCAAAGGAAUAGACGGGGACCCGCACAAGCGGUGGAGCAUGUGGUUUAAUUCGACGAUACACGAAGAACCUUACCUGGACUUGACAUAGUAA
rnacentral:rRNA from 1 species